UUUGUUUGACGUGUACAAUAUACUGAUUCAACAAUUCUGUACACAACAUUACACCAGUGGUCACCAUGAAUGACUUCCUGUACUUCACUAACACUCCUUAGUGCCCAGGAUAGGCACAGGAGUGGUGUGUGUGGCCUGGAAGAUUUCCUCAGAGAGUGACCAUGGAUUAAGUGACCAAUGGCUUUGCUCCAAGAUUAAGAACCCAGGACCUGGCGGACCAACUGAGAUAUUUGCUGACAGAUCCAAUGCUGGUGAUACAAGGGGAUGCCAGAGAGGAAGGGUCAUGCUCCAUUGGGAAGGGCCACAUCUGCUUUCAGAGACUCUUUCAACACCAAAGUUUGACUGCUCUAGGUCCCUCGAAGUGGAGUCACACAACAUCUGUCCUUUGCAUUACUACACUUAGCAUAAUGUCUUCAGUUCAUCCAUACUGUAGCGUGAUGAAUUACGUUUUAAGAGUCCCUCUGGCUGCUGCACUGAGGACAGACCACAGCGGGUGCUCAAUCCAUCUCUGCCCGCUUAAGAUGUUAUGGAUGCAAGAGGUCACUUUGUUCCACUC